rnacentral:rRNA from 2 species
CUUGGUAACUAGAGCGGAGUGGACCCACCCGAUCCCUUUUCGAACUCGGAAGUGAAACGCCCCAGCGCCGAAGAUACUUGGAUAUUUCUCCUGGGAAAAUAGGUCGUUGCCAAGC